rnacentral:Y_RNA from 1 species
GGCUUGUCCAAAGGUAGUGAGUUAUCUCGAUUGAUUGUUCACAGCCAGUUACAGAUUGAACUCCUUGUUCUACUCUUUCCCCUCUUCUCACUACUGCACUUGACUAGCCUAUA